rnacentral:rRNA from 1 species
GAUGAACGCUAGCGGCAGGCCUAACACAUGCAAGUCGAGGGGUAGAGGGAGCUUGCUUCCUUGAGACCGGCGCACGGGUGCGUAACGCGUAUGCAAUCUACCUUUUACAGAGGGAUAGCCCAGAGAAAUUUGGAUUAAUACCUCAUAGUAUUUUCGAAUGGCAUCAUUUGAUUAUUAAAGUUCCAACGGUAAAAGAUGAGCAUGCGUCCUAUUAGCUAGAUGGUAAGGUAAAGGCUUACCAUGGAAACGAUAGGUAGGGGUCCUGAGAGGUAGCUUGCGCACACUGGUAGUGAGGCUCGGAGCAGACGCCAGCGGGAGGCAGCAGUGAGGAAUAUUGGGCAAUGGGCGCAAGCCUGAUCCAGCCAGGCCGGGGUCAGUAAGAAGCAGUUAUGGUGUCUACACUGGUUUUGUACGUGAAGAAACCCGCCCUCGUGAGGGAGCUUGACGGUACCGUAGGAAUAAGGAUCGGCUAACUCCGUGCCAGCAGCCGCAGUAAGAC